ensembl:lincRNA
GGAAGGGAAGGAGAGAGAAACACUGGCAUGCAGACCAGUAAAUGUCUAUAAAUUUACAAGUGAGGAUCUAGUGAAGCUCGAGCGAGCGUUGAAGCCCAGGGCACUGCUAGCUCUGCUUCCUGACUGAUCCUCUAAGAUAACCAUGCUCCUGCCUUCUAACGCCACAGCACCCAACAAAGUGCCUGGCAGCACUCUGGAUACAGUUGUGUGUGCCUGAAGCUCCAGCUCUGGACGAAUCCCAGUCUGUCUCACUGAAACCUUAGCAAGAGAUUCAUGUCUCAGAAACAAGGUGGACUGUGCUGGAAGACACUGCUGGCCUCUACACACUGGGACACACAAACACAUGCACCCUGCCCCACACAAAAGGAGAAAUAGGGUGAGAGAGGAAAGAAUGCAGGGACGGAGGGAGGAGGGAAAUUCCUGGCAGGAGUCUAGAGUAAAUUAUUCACCAUAGCUUUAGCAAAGAGGCAUCUGUAUUGCCACAAAUAAGAAUGUCUCAGAGUUCCUUCUGCCAUCGCAAUUAAAUUGAAUAUUCUGAUUGCCAA